rnacentral:lncRNA from 1 species
UUUUUUUUUUUUUUUUGAACUCAGGCUUGGCUUGCUUCUUUUACAAGCCGAGUUCGAGCAAGCUUAAUAAUUUCAAGCCUAAUCAUGUUCUCAAAUUGUUUUGAACUAUUUCUUAUAGUAAGUUAGCUCGGUUGUAUAAUUUUUUUUUUCUUUUUUUAUGGCUGGAACCCAGUAAGAGGCUAGACCAACACGUUUGUAGAGUCUUGCAAAAAAAUAUCCCUUUUAGUUUAUUUUUUAUUUUGUUAAUAUAUUAUUUGGACCUGAGCAUCCCAUUAUGUAUCAGACAGAGUUGAGUGAAUAUAUUGUUUCUAUGAAUAUUAUUGGGCGUUGAGCUUGGACGACCGAGCAGAGCUUAAGCCUACCUCAAGUUGUUUUGUAAAAGAAUUUUAGUUGCUUAUGAGUGUAACAUACUAAUGUUCAAGCUUGACUUCUUUUUUAAACAAGCCAACCUAUGCUUGGGUUAGUUCUUUAACUAUUCGAGCUCUAUUGAUAAAAGGAAUACACUCACUUAUGGGCUUUCAUAUCGGGCCUAGUUGCAACUCAAUUACUUAGAUCAGGUAGCCCAAUCCCAAUGGCCGAAAGCCACUGAAUGCUAGUAAAAUCCUCGUAUUUACUAUUUACCCCAAUGAUUUGACUUCUUGUUUUUUUUAACUGUUAAGAGCUUUUUAAUGCGACCUAAAAAUUGUUGUAAAGAAAAAUAUCUACCACCUCAAAAUAAUAUGAUAAAUCUUUGACGCCACUGUGACUAUUGACUUGUGAUGGGAUCAUGGAAGCUUUACCCCUGCUGUGUUGCUAUAGAGGACAGUUUUGUAAACUUGACCUGAAAAAAAAACAAACAAAAAAAAAAACAGUUCUGCAAGGGGAUGAAAAUGGAUGUGCAAUCGGCUUUCUGGAUAUUGAAUUUAAUAAAUUAAACAAGAUUAAAAAUUAAAAAUUAAUAAUAGUUGUACAGGAAGUAAAAUGAAUGUGUGAAUAGCACCACUUAAGUAAAAAAUGAAACGAAAAUCAAGAUUGAGAUUUUAGAUUGAUUAAAAACAACAUAGCACUGACCAACAUUCUUUUUCUUUUUUCAAAUGGAGAAUGAAUCUAUUGACUUAUCCAAGACAAGUAGCAAUAAAAAUAAUAGAGUGGUCUAUAAGGACACCUACAAGAUCAUCCCUUAGAUGUUGCAUAAGGUAUCGUUUGGUACGUGAGAUGGGAUGGGACGCGCUCAUCCUACGUUUGGUGUACUAAAAAGAGUGAGACGCAUUGUCCCGUGGAACAGAUUUUAGCUAAAUUUUGGUUCCACCCUCACCAUCUGGAACAGACUUAUUCCAGCUCAUGGAACGCAAAAUUAUAAAAUUUUGGACAACAAUACCCCUUAACUUUUUCAUUGAUUCCACUGUCUACCCUCUCUCUCCCGUAGCCUCCCUAUCUUCUUCUCAUCUUCCUCCACCACAAAUCUAGCAACCCAACCAUGGCUUAUCCACCAUAUUCCCCGCAGGAUGAUUUCAUCUUCUCUUUCCAAUCGGCCCCAACGUUAACCCAAUCCCAACCAACCCACCUGAACCCAAUCCCACCUUCUUCCCGCCGCCUCCCUUCUUCUUGCUGGUCCGUCAAUGAAACCGUCACCUUCUGCCGCACCAACCUCAAGGCCACCCACUUGGCAGGACGUAGCCGAAGCCGUUGCUCGACGAUACCACGCUGCUUUUUAGGCGUCAUCACAAAUCAGAGCUUCUACCAUUUUUUCUCCCGUAGCUUCUCUUUUAUACCCUUUCUCUCUCGUAGCCUCCAUCACUACCAAAUCCUUUAUUGCCUAUCUUCCCUUUACUUAAUCUCCAAAUCAUCUACCUUCUCGACUUCUUAUUCGCGGCUUAGGACACUUCAACGUUGUCGCUGUUGUGGGCAGUGAUGCUACUCGACUCGCACCCGGAGGUCCUGGGGAAGGUUCAGUGGCGUACUAGGUGAUGAGAUACAGAGCUCCGGCGACAAUGGUCAUGCAUGUUGCCUAACCUUCCUUCCCACAAAUGGCUACAGAAAAUCUAUGGGGUUGAGUUGAUGGAGUCAACGAAGAAUGUCACACCUCGAUCCCGACAUAUGUCCAGGAUCGACACGUAACGUUUUCAAGUAUUCGUAUGUCUAAUAUACCCAUCCUUCGGGAUAUGGCAAAGCACACUCGAGCAUCAAUUCACAUAGUAAUUUUUUGUACACUUUAUGGCUGCAUCUAACCUCGUUGUUAGACUACCUACGAACCCUAAAUAGAGAUCAAGCCAUUCGUAGUUCGUCAUUAGUCAAACUCUAAUAUUUUCAUAAAAUACUUCAACCGGAAAACAUAGGGUACUACACUACACAUCAACCAUAAGCCAAACACAAUUAUCAUCUUGUCAUGCACAUAAGUGUGAUAUUCCCACACAUAUGAUUUCCAAUUCAUCCUUCAUAUAAAUCACUAUGUUUCAUAUAAUACUGCAAUUCAUAGUAUGCAACAUCUCAAAGAACAGUCAAUGAAGCACAAUGUUAUCCUCUAGUCAUAAUGGUCAACGAGUCUAAUCAUAAUGACAACAAUCAUAACCAACAUUAUUCCACAAUCACAUCAAUCAAUAACACAUAUCAUAUACCAAAAUGUAUGGCUAGAAUGACACAAUUCGACCGAAACCUACAUCUUUGAAGCUUGAUAUCAACUCCAAGGAACCAACAAGUCAAGUGAUGCGAUUUCGGACCACUCAACGAAAUCCAUCAACAUCGGGUUCUGAACCACUCAACGAAACCAAGACACCAAAAAAGAUUUUGGACCUCUCUACCAAAUCAAAACACCAAAGGGGAUUUCAGACCUCUUUAUGGAAUCCAAACUAGGAUACAAUUCCGAACCAUCACUCAACGUAAUCGUAGAGUAGAAGGGAUUCCUGACCUCUCAAUGGAAUUUGAGUGGAUACGAUUCUGAACCAUCACUCAACGGAAUCACACAGUAGAAGGGAUUACGGACCAUCACUCAAUGGAAUCCAAGUAGAUACGAUUUUGGACCAUCACUCAACGGAAUCGCGGAGUAGAAUGCAUAACAACGGCUCGAAGAAACAAGACAUGGAUAAUGUUACUCCAUUCAUGAAGGCUCAACAAAAUGAAACAAUAUCGAAGCAACAAUCCCCAUCACAAUGGAUUAACUAUCCACUACUAGCCCUCACAUUUUACAAGCAAUUCAAUAUGUAUUUCAUUGCAACAUGCCUAUCAUACAAAUCAAACCAUAUUUCAAAUAUAUAUGUCAAAUCUCAUUUCAUAAACAUAAAUCGAUGACUAAGUAUUAAAAAUAACAAUUCAAUGGAAAACAUAUUUAUAAAACCAAGUCAUAUCCACACAGGAUAACAAUUACGAAAACAAGGUAAUUACCAAUAUCACAUAUAUUAAAGUCACUCUCAUUCCAUCACAUCAGGCCAAACAUACAAAUCAACCACACUCUACAACAAGUUCAAUACACAAGUCAAAUCACAUAAAAUAAACAAGCAUAUCACAAUGUAAUGCCAUCAAUAUGUAAAUCGAGGUGCACAUCAAUCGAAGAAGACACAUCAUCAUACUGAGCCCAAUAAGCUUCAUGGAGUCUCAACAACAUGCUAAAAUCAACAACACACUAGAAAAACUCGGACUAGUUGAUUAAAAGCUAACCAUCGAUUAAGGUCGAGAGUAGGGUCUACAACCCUAGAAAUCUAAACCAGAAGAUCUGCUUAUCAGAUUUCUAAUCUGUAACUUCCUAAAGUCCACAUUAUGCUUCUAGAACAACAUACUAAAAUUUCAUUAUGAUCCAACAAUUGGAUCUCCGCCAAUCGCUAAGAUUAAGUGGCGGUCAAUGUUUAGUUUUCCAAACUUAGAAAUCCAAUUCGGGAAGAUCCGUAUGUCGGAUUUCCAAUCCGUAAGUUCCUAUUGUCCUCAAAUAUUUUGUACUAUUACUUAUUGUUUGGUGUUGAUCCAACGAUCUGAUCGUUAAUUCAUAUAAUAAUCAAGUGACAGCCAAUUAGGCGGUCAAUUACGAAACUAUGUUAAAACAUCGGAAUUUCACUAAACGGAUGUCAAAUAUGGAAUUGGGGCAUCAAAAUUAGCCUAGGAUGGUCAGGUAGGGCCUCUGAUGGCUUCCCCAACUCACCAGAAAAUUCAACUAUUUCCAAAAAUUACCAAAUUUCACAGAAAUGAAGAUCUCAAUGAGUAGAGCAAGUUUUAUACCUGUGAACAAGACCAAUUUGGCUGGGAAAAGCCCUAAUUUCAUCCAAACUUGCAGGAAGCCCUAGAAUGGGUGGCUUCGAUCCAUCACCUCUGGUGCUCCACCGCCCCUACAGUUGUUUGGGCUUUGUUCCAGGCCUCAAGAUGAGUGUUUUGGUGGUGGUGAUGGUCGACGUAGCUUUCACGGUCGGUGGAUUUCUGUUGUGGCACCCCAGAUUCGACGGGUUCCGUUCUUCGCUAAUUCAAGGCUAAAUUGUAUGAAUUUUGGGGUGGAAUUGGUAGAGGAAAGGCUAAGGAGUUGUUUCCAAGUGAUGGAAGGCAACGAUUCGCCGUGAAACGCCGCGAAUGGUGUCGGGUUGGGUCGAGAAGAACACCCGUUCCCUUUUUUUUUUUUUUUCUUUUUCCUUUUCUCAUUUUCCCUCAUUUUCCCCUCAUUUUCUGAUUGGGCACUCCCCCACCUUUUUUCGUCUGCAACUCUCUCUUUUCCCCUCUCUCCUACUGCCAACUGCCAGCUUCUAAUUGUUUUUUUGUUUUUUGUUUUUUUUUUACUAAAACGUCUCUAAUUUCUUCGUUUCAACUCCGAUUUAUGAACGAUUUUCGCCUACGUGUUUAUAGGGUCGAGCUUUAUCCAAUUGUGUGACCCCGCAAGUCCACGAAUAUUUAAUGAUUACUGACCAAAAUUCAAACUUCGUAAUUAGUUUAAUUAAAAUCUAAAUUUGAUAUAUAUUCCCAAAAAUAAUAUAAAAUCUCCUUAAUACAAAUACGUAGUUUGCAAUAGUGAAAUCUCGUUCCUAGAUUUCAUAGAGAACCAUGAGUACGUUUGUCAUUUAAUCCUUUGUUACAUUCCGUUCUGCACGUACCAAACGCGAAACAAAACAACUGUCCCAUUUCAUCCUGUGCAUACCAAACAUAGCACGAAAGCUCUAUUCCGUUCUGUCCCGUUCCAUCCCGUCUUUGUACCAAACGCUACCUAAGCUAUUGGGGAGGAAGCUGAAAAGAAUGCAAACCAAAGUCCAAAUUGUAGCUCCAUUUGGCUAGCUAAUCUGCAACAUUGUUCAAUUCCCUGAAAAUAUGUUUUAGCUCACAAUGAGCAAUUCUUCUCAUUAAAUCCCUACAACUCUUCAAAAGGGCAGCAAGGGGGUGAAAAGUAUCUUGCACAAAUUAGUUCAACAAUAAUACAGCAGAGAAAGAGUUCAUCUCUAUGAUUAACUUAGAUAUGCCUUUUUCAAUAGCAAGCUGAAGUCCAAAAUACAAUCCCCAAACUUCAGCUUCUAUAAUUUGCCCUUGCCUUAGAUUAAUAGAGAAACCUCCCAUACAAUCACCAUUGUGGUCACAAAGAAUUCCUCCAACAUCGACCUCGCUCGAAACCAUUUUUCUAGAACCAUCUACAUUCAACUUAGUGUUAUCCAAUAAAUGCGUUUAAAACAUAACAUUACAUAUCUCGCUCAAUUAUUUGACAAUGUUUUAAUUUUGAUAAACUUUCAAACAUGACACGACAAGCUGUGAAUGAGAUCAAAUAUAUAUUCAACAAUGUUAAACUAAAGGGUUCGGAUUAAAAUUUCAUCCGAACGAACACGUUAGUACACGACACGUUGCACGAUCUACGGUGGACCAUCCCCCACUUAUACAUGGGUCAAGGGGUCAACGAACGUAAUAAAAUAACCAAAAUACGCACUGUUUUGUUAUCCCAUCAUUUUCUAUUUCUUUUCUGCAGACCCAAAAGAUAAACAGGCAAAGGAUAGAAUGUACGGCUUAUCUCCACUGCCUGGGCCAUCAUUUUAUCAUCCGAAUACUUUGUUGUUUUAUUUAUUUAUUUUAGCAUUCGGUAGGUGGUCAAUAUCUUAAUCCAACGGUCCAGAGUACAUAAGCCAAAACGGGGAGUGGUACCAUUCGUAAUUCCUCUCAAACUCACGGGCAACUGUAAGACAUCAACAGUCGUAAUUUCCCGUUAUACCCUCAUCCGUACGGUUCCGCUUCCCCGCUUCUAUAAAUCGCCUACCCCAGCCAUACCCACACCCCACGCCUUUUGCCUUUCCGUCUGCUGCUCUCUGCCCUCGUCGUCCUCCUCUCUCUCUCUCUCCCCCCCCUAGGGUUAGGGUUUCUCUGUCCUUUCUCAACAUUUGCUUUCACUCUUUGUGCUUCAAUGGAGGAGCAAAAGGUACAGAAAGGCGUGGCCGCCGAGAAGGUCGCACCCGUGUCCCCCAUCUCUGUCACGGAGUGCUACCCUCGUCUCUCGAUCAAGGCACCCAAGGGCGAAGACGCCAUCAAGUUCUACGAGACCGUCUUCGGCGCCGUGGAGCUUGAGCGUGAGAGUGAUCUCAAGCGCAAGGCUGACCAGGAGCGUCCCUUCAUCUACAAUGCUAAGCUCAAGCUUGGGUCCUUCACCUUCCUUGUGACUGAGUCUGACUCGAUUGUUGACUCCGGUGACGCCGCGUACGUAUCGUUCUCUCUCGCUCUGCUUUUUUUUCCUCCUUUACUUUAAAGUAAUUGUUAUUACUGUUAGAUCUGGAAUCCACUGUUUGCUUUGUUGUGUGUGUAGUUUUCGAUUUACUACAAUAUUUUUUUUCUAUUUUUAGUUGAAUUUUUAAUCAUAUUCUUUACUGUUUACUCUUCAUUUUUAGCUAUUUAUAUAAAAUUCUUUUACAUUUCUAUGAAGAUGUGGUCUAUAUGCGUGGAUCUAUUUCUUGCACUUGAUUUUUUUGUAGACGUGAUAAAUUUUCUUGGUUUACCAGAGCUCUGGCUGACGGUGGUUUUAAGCAUCUGUUGCUUACUGUUGGGGACGUCGAUGCGGCUGUGUCCAAGGCGGUCCAGGCGGGAGCUGCGGCGGUUGGGGAGAUCAAAGCUGGUGGUGCUUUCUUUGGCGACGAGCAGCGUUGGGCUCAGAUUAAGGAUCCUUUCGGCAUUAACUGGUUCUUCGUCACCCCCCUUGAGAAGAAGGCGUCUGUGGCCGAAGCCCCGGUUACCGUCUGAUUCCAUCUCGCCCCACCACCACAUAUCAUGACGAUGUUUUGGUUUAGAUUUUAAUCAAAUAUUUAGACCCUUUAUGGACCGUCUGAUUCGAAGACUUUAAUUGGUUUAGGAUUAGGCUAAUCGUAGCUUUAGCCUUAAUAUUUUGAUGAAGGAAAUGUUUGACUUUAUUUGACCGUUGUUAUGUGGUUGGAUUUUUAGUAUUAAAUGAGUUCAUGGUUGUUCUAUGAUCCGUCGUUUUCUAUUAAUUUUUUAUGUUCGUUGUUUUUCUUGUCUUUUUAGCUGUUUGCGUAGUUAUUGCACGGUGAAAAUUACCUUCUUAGACAUUGUUACUUGAGGAGAGAGGUUGGCAAUGGUGGGGUAGUAUUGACAUUCGAACAGUCUGGAUAAGGAUUGAUCAAGGAGAGAGAUUGUGUUGCAUUCGGAUAGGGGCCGGUACGGUUUCAGAGAAAGGAGUAGGUAGACUUUUAGGUUCUGUGUGGUCGAAAGGAAACAAACGUGGUGCUUGUCACGUGUCAAUAAUCUGGAAGUAGGCGUGUUUACUUUGAAAACGUGGUUAGGCUUCGGGAGGUGCAUGUCAAGGGUGGUCUAGAAUCCAAUCGAUGGUCGGAUUCUUUCGUGAGUCGAGACUUGGUUUGCUUUAUUUAGCUAAAAACUGCUUCAUUUGAAACAAUGUAAGCGUUUGAUAAAAAUAAAAUAUCUUACUUAUUUUAAAAGAAAUGAGUGGAAACCCUCCAUAUCAAUCCAUCUCUAUAGGAUACAGGAUACUUUAAUGAAAAGAGAAACCAAGUCUCUAAGUGAUAUUAUUAAUUUUAUAAUACCCUCAUUAGUUUUAAAAAUCAAAGUUGUUUAAUCUUUCUAUAUUCAUCUUUUCCCUUGGAGAACAAGGUGACACACACCACCUAUUACUACAAAACACUAACCUUAAAGCACCACUACCAUUACCACUACCACUACUAUAACCACCACCACAGCCAUCACCACCAUAACUUCCUACCACCAUUGUUAACCCUACAAGCUAACCACCGCACCCCGCAUUGUCACCACCACCAUACCCCGACCCUUGUCAAUGCCAUCACCAGUGCUACCAUCGUCACCACCACCACUAUUGCCCUUGUCACCACACCUACUAUCAUCUCCAUAUUUAUCAUUAUAUACACUGCAAUCUGAAACUGGCAUUCAAAGAGUUUGUGAAAAUUAAAUUUAGCAGUUAAAUACUCAAAACAUAGAAGUUAUACCUCUUUCCUUGGGGUUUGUUCUUUCUUUUUAUUUUUAAGGUAUGCAUCAUUACUUGUUGGGAUUUUUUUUAUUUUUUAUUUUAUUUUGAAUACAACGAUAUAUUUUACACUAAGGAGAAUGGGAGUUCACUAUCUACGAGAUUCGAACCUAUGACCUCUCACUUAAAUAUGAAAAGAAAUAUCAUCAUAUCAUAGUACUGAGUGACUGAGACUAUUUAUUUUUCAGUCUCUCUUUAAAGAUUAUCUAAUAUAAGCUACAUCGUUAGUCAAUUUAUUCAUCUAACUUGGUCUACAAAAUACUUAAUAAAUAACAAAUAAUCCGAUGACCAAAAAUACACCAAUUGGGCCUAAAACAAUCAAAUAUUAUUUGUCAAAUGACCCAAAGAAAAUGAACCGACGACGACAUUGCUAAAAAAGCCUGCCAUAACAAAGAAGAGGUCCUUCGAAUAGGAAUAUGGGAACGGAACGAUGGGUAGCAGAUGAAUAAAUGAGCAUGGAUCCAAUUUUACAUUAGCAUCCCCCAAACGAAUGUUUUUUUUUUUUUUUAGUACAUUGAAUAUAUUUUUACACUAAAUAAAGGGAGAGUUCGGCUAAGCUACAAUGAGCAACCUAAUUUGGUAUCAAAUUCACCAUCUACAAAACCUAAGACCCUUACUUUCAAGUGAAGAGAAAUAUCACCAGAUUAUAGUACUGAAUGACACAUAUUUUUGAACCUUGUAAUUGUCACAAUUCCUUCAUAUACUUACAAUUGCAUUUCUACUUCCUUGAUCACUCUUAAAUCAUCUUGUAUUUCUUCCACCCUCCUUUCUUUUCUAAUCUCUCUCUCCACACACACACACAUACACACACACCCACACUUACUAUGUGAGCUCCAAAGAGCAUGCUCGCUCAUGUUCGAAUACUAAAAGGAGCUUAGCUCCUAUUUAUAGGAGUAUGAGGCGGCUACCCAAACGUAGUGGCCAAGAAAACUUACCCAAGAAGUAAACUAUAUUAAUAGAAUAUGUCUAUACCAUAUUUAGGGCCUCAUAUUUAGAUCUCGUACAAAUACUUAAGGGACUUAAAUGUAAUUAUGUGAUAAAGAAAUGGACAAAUAUGUAAUAAGUGAGGAGUUCUUAUUCUAUAAAAGGACCCCUCACCCUCACAAUUAGGGAAGGCCUCACUCUCACUCUCGGAGGCCAUUUCUGGAGCCUUCUCACCCCUCUCAACGCUCUCACUCCUAGAGCUCUCUCUCCCCCUCACUUCUCAGAGAAAUAUAAUACAAUCCGUGUGAACGUAGCCCAAACUUUAGGGUGAACCACGAUACAUCUUGUGUUAUUUACAUUACUUGCAGAUUCAAGGUCGGAUUUACGUUGUUCCAAGACCUUCGGUUUUGUGCAUCAACAGAAUACAUAUAUAUAGAUAGACAUAGAGGAUGGCUCUUAGCUUGGUUAUCGAAACAAAGGAGGAGGUGUAAAUAAGUGAUGGAGGUGGCAGCUGGGAAGGGUGCUUCCAAGCACCUCAAAAUGCAAUCCUAAAAUUACUAUAGAUUACUAUGAACAUGAUCAUGCCACGUUAGAAGCAAUAACUUCACAAGUGUAACCUAUGAGAUGGAAAUAUGAGAUAAGAUAAAGGAAGUGAAGAUAGCGGAGAAAAUGUUGUAGGUUCAAAUAAAUAAAUAACUAUAGAUAUUACUUGCUCAAAUAAUAAAACUGUAAUUAUAUAUAAAUAAUACAUUAAAAAAAAAAUAGGCAAAGGUUUUGAAAAUACGGGUCAUCACAAAUACAUCUCUGCAGUGCUACUUCGAGUUGUCAUAAUUUAGUUGUCCAUUUUGAACCUAUAUUUUGUGAUCUCCAGUCAACUAGGUUAGGUUUCUACUAUGAUUUAUGUUGAUGCACAAAAUCAGUGAGGACUUUGGUACAACAGAAAGUGUUAAGUUUGUGACCUUCGCUAGAUUGCUCCGGUCACUAGUGUGGAUAAGUAUGUAAAUGAAUAGGGAUAGAGAAGCAAACACAAGAUGUACGUGGUUCACCCAGAUUGGCUACAUCCACGGAGUAGAGGAGUUCUCAUUAUUUGUGAAGGGUUUACACAAGUACAUAGGUUCAAGCUCUCAUUUUGUGAGUACUAGUGAAUGAUAUAAUACAUCUGACAUUAGAAAAUAUUGUGAGAGAAUGAUCUCUAUUUAUAGAAGAGAGUUUCUAGUUUCAUUCUGAUAUUAACACGUGUCGUGUUGUGAUUGGCUUAUGAUGUUGACACGUGUCGUGCUAUGAUUGGCUUAUGAUGUCGACACGUGUCGCACUGUGAUUGGCCUCCUAGUUGGAGGGAAACUCUUCUGAGUCCUUGACGGUAUAAGGUUGAUCGGUGCUCAGUAAUUUCGGGAUUGGUCAAGUAUGGUACAAACAACUUCAAUAAUUACGGGCUUUAAACUCAUUGCCCUUGAUGAUACAACUUAUUUUCUAGUCAAACCUUUAAAAAUUGGUACCACUAGGUUGACUACUCAUGCUAUAUGCCCAUCACAAAACUCGUUCAUGCAUGGAAAUAAAUUUCGUUUGAGAGUAGUUGUUUUCCGGCGUUAAGUCCUUCAAAUAUAUGUUCGGAUUUACUAAGUAAUUUGCCUAUGCUUGGGUAAAUUCCUCCACAUUUAAAGUAUUUGUCAGAAGAUCUUCAAUACCUUAAAAAUUCCAUUGUAAAAGAUAAUCUUUGUCUCUUUCUACAAGCACAUUACUUUUUCUUUCUUCUUAAUCAUAGAUCAUUUCUCAAAGAUAGCUAAGCCACCCCCACAAUUUCCUCCAUUGUGGUUGCUUUGAAGCCUAAUAACUAAUCCUUCCUGCAAGCAGCACUUUUGGCAAUCGUUGCCUUUGGCCUCUAGACUAACCGAGAUUUAAUAGUUUGGACUUCACUCUUUUGACUAAAGACAACCCCAACUUUCUUUGCAACAUAUGUGCACUAUUAAUAUGAUUAUUUUGUAGUGCAAUAACAAUACAACACGGUAUAAUAAGAAUGUCUCAUCACAAAUAUAUUCACAUUAUGCAUUAUAUGUGUUCAGUAGGACGCCAUGUUUGAGAUUCACAAGUCGUGUAAUAUUCAUAUAUACCAUAUACACGAUAUCUCAAACCUUCGAAAGAGGAUCUUUGCCGGAUCCUUUUUGUGAGGAUUCCGGAAAUCCUUCAAUCACAUCCGUUCAUUGUACAUCAUGCGACCAGUUUUCGUCAGGUAAUUUUAUAUUCAAUUUUAAAUAAAAAAAAAUUACAAUGAUUUUUUAUCGCACGAUGUACAAUGAAUAAAUGUGAUUUGAGGAUUCCCGUGAUCCUCGCUGGAUCCUCACUCCAAACCUUCACUCCUUCUGUAUCAACGCACACCAUGCGUAAACUUUCUAGGUGAAAAGAAACAUCCUUUCAUGAAAAGAUAUUUCACAUUUUCUCAGAUUUUCUUAUCACCUCUAUAAUGCCAAGAGGCAAGAGAUAUCCAUUUAAUAUAUCAAAUACAACCAACUCAUGUUCCUUCAUAAUACCUCGCUUACAUAUCCAUCACGGCUGCAUUCAAAUAAUCCACUAAUAUUUCUUUAGGAAAUAUCGAGCACAACCAAACAUCCUGCAUUUCUCCAUGAAUACAUAUGGGAUAAAUCGUCGUUCGGACUAUCGUCAGUCUCAAUCAAUUGGUUGGAACAGAAAUCAUGUAAUAGAUUUCCUUUCCAACGCUUAGCAAAGAGGGCGGCCUUUUCCCUUCAUUCAUUUGUGCCACUUCAAGAGACACGGUAGACGUAAAAACACACCAAACAUAUAAGACUCAUGCAUGUGUAUAUGCAGUAAAUAAAUUAUCUCAUGCUCAGGUCUUUCAUGUACCAGUUCCGUACAAUAUCCAAGACUCCAAUUGUGUCAUUUGGUCAAACGAUGUAACCCUUACUAGGGUUGCAUUAGUUUCAAAAAACACUUUCAGACUUCAGUUGGUCAACCGUAACCAACCAAUCUAAUUCUCCAUACUUCUAAAGGAAAUUAAAGAAAACUGCAAACUCAUAAUUCAACAAGUGUAAGAGAAACAUCCAAGUAUAUAUAUAUACAUAGAUUGUAGACAAAACUUCAAUGCAAAGCAUAUAUUCAAAAGGGUUCAAGCAGUCGAAGUGGCAAAGUGUCAAAUAUGAUCCAAAGCAUCCAACCGUAAAUCAGGAUUUGAUAUACAUUGAGUCAUGCUUUGUAAUAAACAUGCAAACCACAACCAUAUACUAAUCAUGCGUUUGCUCUCAUAUGACCAUAUUAUUCAUAUUUUCAAUGACACACGAAUAUACUUACCAAAAAGACAAAAACAUGUAAUCGAACACCAUAUUUUCUGUCUGUGAUUUUCUCACAAGCACACUUUAUUUGAUCAACUUUCGAUAGCAACUAAACCUGAACUUGUCUUUAAGAUUGUUGGAAAAAAUAAGGUCUAAUUGCUAUAUUAAAUCACAUAGAAAAUUAAGAAAUAAUUUAUACAAGUAUAUAUCAAAGUAAUAUAUGCACAUGAGUAACCAAUGUUAAAUGAACAUGACAUAAUGGAUUAGAAAAGGAGAUUAUUAUUGGCACUAAAAAAAUCUCAUUUUGCACUCCAAACUUUCUAUAAUUAGAAAGAAAAAUACACUUGUGAUAAGUGUAUAAUGCAAUUUUGGGAGUGUUAAUAAUAGUUCCCUUAGAAAAACCUAAAAAUACGAUCAAGGCAAGUGUUGGACACUUUGUCCUUAGGACAAGUUUAUGCCCCACUAUGGUGUUCAUGGUUGAUCGGCGCUUGUCUCCCAAGAUAACGACCACAUCCUUGUAAUAGUAUCACUCCAAAUCACAAGGCUCCAUGAACCACGAUUGUGUUGAAAACUCUCUCAUAUGGACUCAAUGCGACUUUCUAAUAUUUAGUGCACUAUAUAUGUAUUGAUUAAAAGUUAUUUAUGAUUAUGGGGGGGGCUUUCCUAUUUAUAGAAGUUGAGACAUGUCACAUCUCGACCCGGGCUCCAGCAUAUCCCAGGCUUGACUUCGACGUAGCACGAUAUUGUCUACUUUGGGCCCUAACCAUGCCCUCACGGUUUUGUUUCUGGGAACUCACACGGGAACUUCCCAGUGGGUCACCUAUCUUGGGAAUGCUCUCGCCCGAACUCGCUUAACUUCGGAGUUCCGAUGGAACCUGAAACUAGUGAGUUCCCAAAAGACCUCGUGCUAUAGGAGGUGGGCAUGUACAUAUAAGGCACAUCACCCCCUCUUUAUUGGUCGAUGUGGGAUGUUACAAGACACCUAUUUAGAAAGCAUGUGAUUAUUCAUAAAGAGUUAAAAGUUACAACUCUUCAUUUGAAUAGACACAUCUUUCUACCAAAAGACUCAACUUCUAAUUUCCAUUCAAUUAAUAAAUUUAAUAUUAUAAUAAUAGUAAUUAAAAUUUUUCAACACGUGUAUAUUAUAAACAUGCAUAUAUAUUAUAAGGGAAUUGUUAUUGGCAUUCCAAACUUUCAUUUUGCACUCAAACUUUCUAUAAUUAGAAAGAAAAAUACACUUGUAGGGGAUGUAGAAUGAGAUUUUUGGAGCGCUAAUAACAAUUCUCUGUUAUAACAUAAAUAUAAAGUAAUAUCUUUGUCAAAUAGAAUCCUAAAUAAAAAAUACAACAUUCUUUAAGGAUAAAUAAUUCAAUAGAUAAUAUUUUUUAAUUACACCUCUAUUUGUUUAAGAAUAGUACAAUAUUUUAUGUAUUGAGAAAAUGACACUACAAAUUCAUAUCAUGGUCCUAACAAACUAGAUCUAGAAACAUUACAAUAAAGCAUCAUGAAUCGUAGAGCAAUGAGAAGACUUCAAGCAUUUGUCCGAGCUCAUUGAGAAUCGCAAGAUUACACAAAUUAAUAAAAUCGUUAAACCUCGUAUUACACGGAGAUCACAUGAGAAUAAAAUCUCAAAUUAUGUAUUGGGACAAGAAGAUCGAUGCCUAUGGAUCGACUGCAUCAACUAAUCACCACCGCGAUCUUAGGACACCAAGUGAAGUAGAUCCAACAAAUCAAACAGCUCCACCUUCACACAUAAAUUCAAGAGAGGUAGCUCACCAAAAUGAAAAUGAAAAUCAAGUACCUCUCUUAUAAAGAGCAACCAAAUUAGCAAACUCUCCUAAGAGAUAAAUCAAAACCAAACUCCAAGACAAUCUUUGGAAAUUAUUAGUCAGAAGCAAGAUAAAAUUAUAAAAUUAUGUCACCGUUCGAUACCCCUUAGACAUUCGAGAGUCGUGUCAUUACACUAGCUAAACCUAUAAUGUCGUUCUGGCUAAACCCAACCUCGAUGCAAUCCGCCAUUUUCCAUGGCUUCUAACUUCAAUCCUAUAUCGAUGAUGAUAACUGGAUCCAAACCUUAUGCUUGUUGUGUGUGUGGGUGUUGACCCUAAAAACUACCAAGCCUACAUGAUGCGUAGGCCGGAUAACUAAUGAGCUAACUAUGUCCUUUGGUUAUGUGCGGGCGUGCAAACUUGUCGGCCGAGCUCGGUCGAGGAGUAAAAUAUGUUGAUGUUGCGUUGGGUGUGCUGCUAACUUCUCGAUCUUGCGACUGCGGCUGAGGAAUGAACACUCUUGGCUUCGAGUUCUAGAGCUUAAAAACAAGGCUCCUAGUUUUGCGAAGUUCAUAGAUUGUUGGCACAGGGUUCAGUCACGGUGAUUAUAAUCGUGAGAGUAUAAACACGUCGAAUUGGCUCAAAAUUGUACGGACACAAGUACUCAAAGGAAAUAUAUGUCUUGAUGGUAAAUGUGGUUCAGCUAUCAGAAUGCUGAACUCUAAACCCUACUUGUGAGUAACCAAUCAUAAACAAUUCAACAUUCAAAGUGCCAAGCCCCGUAAUUUGUAACACCUCACUUCGCCAAGAAGGUUAAUGAGAUAACCUCUACCAAUAAGGAUUAAAAAAUCAUUCUCAACCGAGACUUGGAUAGAUAACCAGUCGACCUUGACGUAAUGCUGUUUAUCCAAACUGAAGGUGCUUCGCGGUUGGCUGAUUCUACGGCGGCAGUGUUCUUUAUCCAAACUGAAGAUGUUCACCGGUUGCCUUCAAAGUGCUGUUUAUCCAAACUGAAGAUGUGUCGGCGGAAAAGAAAAUGAAAAAAUCUCAAGGUUGUUGAGAGGUUUCACGUAGAGCGAAAAUUUGCGCAGGGUAGCUUGUGUGUUGAAUUAGAGAGGCUGAAUGUGUGUUCAUCCUCUGUAUUUAUAGGAGCGAACCUACUUCCCACCGAGUUAGAACCUCACCUAGAUUAGGACUUCUCAUCCUGAUCUAACUAAGACUUGGUCAAUCCCACUUUAAUUAGGAAUUUGAACACAUCUUCACAACGAACCAGGUUCUUUCCGUGCUCCUUAGUGCCUUUAGCUUUAGCACUCAUGGGGGUUUAAGGAUUCAUCCUUCAUCUUUAUCCAAAUCAAUCAUUCUCACAAAGGGACUCGAUCGACAAAUAACUAGACAACCUUCAAUACCCAGCUGGCCUAUGAUCCCGCUUACUACCACUGGAUCAAGAAUCUCGGCCCAUUUGUUACCUUCGACCCAAAACAUCAUUUUGGACCCAAAUUGCCCCCUCGCUUAUGAGGUAUUCGACUUAGAAUUCUUUAGCCGAAUUUCAACCUUGAAGAAGUGGAAACAAACUAGGGUAUAUUUUAUAAAACAAUUCGAAUAUUCCAUCUAUCCAGCACAUUUAUGAAGCACGAUCGCACGAACCUAAUUUCGUCAGUCACUUUGCCACGUGGCAUCUUCUGGGCACGUCUGUCCUCUAAUGAUGACACUUGAAACGUGCAUGCAGACGCUAAACAUCACUUCGUCAUUAAUUCUGCUGCUACACAUACCCACGCCACCUUGAUCCACGAACUGCUAGGUCACUGAAUCGUCCUUUUAUCAUCAAAACCGCUGCCACAUGUUACCUCGUCGCCUCAAUCCUUGAGUUCUCUGGUCUCUUCACAUGGGUUUCCCGAAUCUCCAUAACGAUUGAGAAAACUGACUGCUUGAUUUUACCAUUUCUUUUCAAAAUAGAACGAUAAACCUCAUUCUAAAACUCUUAUAAAUACCCAAAAUCCUUUAUUUUCCUAUUUACGCUCUCAGAACUCUCAAACUUUUUAUUCCCAGAUCAACCUGUAAAAACUCAUUUCCAACCAGGAAAUUUCCUCUAAGUCUAAAACUUCUUCAAGCUCUCAGCAAUGGCUUCCAACACCUUCAUAUCCAAACUUUCUGACGAAUGCGUUAAGUGCCGGGACUUCAUCGACAUGAGCGUCAUAAAAAACCUACGAUUCGAAGGUGACUCGAGCGCUUCUCACCAGAUCAUGUGGCCACUCUUUAAAGACAAUGUCCCAGCAUCCAUUACCAACGUCCUCAAAGACAAUUACCUGAAACCUUUAUUUCAAGGGUAUGUCUGGUCGAAGUAGGAAUUGACCAAACCCCAAGGAACUUGGCCUUCCACCACUGCGGCUUAGGUAGCGUGGGUCGAGAGGAUGGAGAAGUUUUUUAAUAAAAAAUGGAAAGUUCUUGGUAUUUAUGGUGCCAUCAAGCUUUCGACCAUCGAGAUUGCCAUGGACAAAAAACUUCUUAUGGCAGCUCUGGGUUUUUGGUGCUCAGCCACCAAUACUAUGGUCCUUCCACUCGGCCUUAUUAGCCCUACUAUUCUCAACAUCUUAGCUAUCUUCAGGACCUCCCCUUUAGGUUUCCUGAUUGACAUUUCCCUCUUUGGAUGUCCUUCAAACCUCAACCUCAAGAUGCUAUUCGACGAACGCACGGUCGAGUCACUAAAGAAGAAAAAUCAAAAGCCUUUGAAAAAAGAAGUUUAGAAGUUGCAUAAAAACUUCUUCAACUAUAACACCCUCAUUCAACACUUCGUUGGCCGAAGGGAAAAAACCUCAGGAAGGGAGAACACGAAGCCUUCCUUUUCUAUUGGUACAACAAAUUCAUUUGUUGUACCAAGUCAAAUAAAUGUUUGGUUGAGAACAUGCCGAUCGUUGAGGCGUUAGCCAGUGGUCAUGUCCUGGCUCUUAGAUCAACUAUCUUUGCCAACCUCACAUGUUGCCUAGCCGAGGCAACGGUCAACAAGAUUGACCCCCACUAGACUGGCCCACUAUGGGUCCUUUAACUAUGGUUGCAAGUUUAUUUUGCCACCCUCAGGCCAGAAGUCCCCAACUUCAUACCCACUGAAGCAUUGGGUCUGCAAUUGGGCUCUAGACCCGCUCAUCCUUACUCGGCUGAAGAAGUUUUUAAAUACUUUUUUUUGGCUUAGAAGACCUUUCUGAUGAUGAGUUUUUGAUUUGUCGUCAUCAAGAAUAUCCCCCUUCCAUCAAGUUCUCAUCUUUGUCAUGGAAUGAAGCCGAAGACGCUAUCCUCCGAAAGAGCUAGGGACCGUUUGUGUUGAUGCGUGACCUUCCCAUCGGCUGGGAUGCUAAACGUGUAAGUUGGGAAGUCUACCUUCCCCACUUCACUACGCAGCAACUUGGCUACUUCCAAGACUGCUUACUUUCUCUACUUACCUCUCGUUCUCUCCUGAGCCGAUGAUGUUUCUCUAGUUCUUUAGAAAAAGAGUGCAGGGAGGCCGAGCAAGAAUAUCAAGAAAGAUGCAAGAAAUUCCGCCUUCGACCGAACAUCCUCGAGACACUCAAUACCGCCACCUUUGUUGAAUGGUGGGCCGCCUAUACCCAAUAUUUUUUGGCACACCGAUCAAAAACGUUAUCAAGAAAUUUUUUGGUGAUAGCCUGAAGAAGACUUCAGCUCCGACCUCUAAAGAAAUGGCUUAAGGUAUUUGUCUAUGUCUAUCAUUUUACUUUGGCCAUUUUGUUUAAACUUGUUGUUUUAAUUUUAGCUUCUUCAGGUGGUCAUGCGGAAGCAGUAGCUGCAGCUGUGAGCAAGAAAAAGCUGGCCCCCUUGCUAAAGAAAACCGCGACCGCCUCGCUGAUUUUGCCGAGCAAACAGUCUUGCCUAGAGGCUGAAAUGGUUGGCGAUGCUCCCCUUCCUAAAAGACGUGUUAAGAAGUUGGCGAGGAAAUGUAAGCGGGAGAUUCAUGUCAUCUCCAGCCAGACUAUAGGAGCCACCGCUAAGUCUCAUCGUGCUUUUGCUGUUCGACCUCGAUAGAUAUGCAAACAAAACCCCUCACUAAUCAAGCUCUUGAGGUUCAUCCCGUUGAACAAGUCGUGGUUGAGUCGGCCGUUGACCUAGUGGUCGAGGAACCCGUAGCUCCAGGGUCGGCUGUUGUUCUCGUCUUGAAAGAAGUGGCCACCUUGGCCGAAAAAACUUUAUCCCCGAAUCCAAAAACAAAAACAACGGUCGUUCUGGAGGAAGAAGUAUGACUAUAUUACUAGUAUCUUUUCCUUCCACAAGAUUUUGAAUCCUAAACAAUUCUUAUUUCAGGACGACGACAGCGAAGAACUCUUGCUAACAAGUCGUCAUCGACUAACUAGACUUCCUACCAACAAUCUUUCACUUAUGGUUAAGGUGACUGACCAAGUUGAUCCUCCUGUAACCGAUCGUGGAAAAAGGCCCCUUGUCAAGCCUGAAGCGACGACGGAGAUGCCAAUCCACCCACAAGAUCAAGAUCUUAACAUUCCUCCUCAAGAAGUUACUUCGGCUUUUGUAAGGCUCGAUCCCUUUCUUUCGUUGAUUUUACUAUAACAAGUCUGAACUGAGAAUAAUACUAAAUGUCAGGUGCUCAAUUAUUCAUUUCAUCGACAAUUCUAUGUGCCCAAUGGUGGUAUCUAUAUUUCUUAGCCACCUUAGUGGCCGUUGAAUGUAGAUAACCUCUAUUGGCCGUGUGAAUUGAGAAGCAAUCUUAACUACUAGGCUUGGCCAUUAAGCACUCUAAGUUUGAGCAAUGAACCAGAGGAUAUGGCUGAAGUCUCAUCCCCACAGGUCUAAAGCAAAUUCUCCAUGUUAUAUUCUUUACGAUUUUCUUUUUGCCUAAAACCUUUUCAUGUGCAUCUUUCAUGGGAAGCUGAGCUCGAUGUUCUCCUUUCGAAUACUGCUGGAGUAGCCAGAUCAUCUACUACGUCGACCGAACCUUCGGUAACCGAGGUCUAAUCCAACGCCCUUGCCAAGUUGUAAGAACUUUUAUCCCUCUCUGCUUCACAAAUCCUUCAAUGCAAAGGCCUCGACUUCGUAGGAGAGUGUCUGAACCCUCUUGCAGCUGGUGGUCUGCUGAGUACCGAGAAUGUCAUCUACCUACCCGAUAUCCUAGAGCGGACUCGACAGUUCUUUAGUAUUUUUGAACGGGCUCUCCGGGCUAACGACGACCUUAAGGCUGCAAGACCGCUCACAAAGCCAGUCGGCUGGAGGUUGAGGCCAUUAAAGUAAAGAAAACACAGUUGGCCAACUUUGAUCAUUAAAUCGUCGAGCUACAAUGUCAAAUUGUCAAACUUCAACGGAAAAGGUUGGCCGUUACUUCGGACCUUGAAAAGAAUUUUGAAGCAAAUAAGGCUCGGUUAACGGACUUUGCGGUUGACGCAAAGCAGGUCCAGCAAUUUCAGCUUAAUCGUAGGACAAGGCAAGCCGAAGUCACCAUAGGUGAAGUAAGGUGGUUAGAACUGAAGGCCGCUCUUGAAGCCUUCCUUCAUUUGACCCUUUAGGAUUUUGGUUUAACUAUCUUUUGUAUCUUCGUUUGUACGUUUCUUUGCAAAAUCAAUGAAAUGAUCUUUUAUUCUCGUAUCUGCCAAGUGACUAGAUAAUAUUUCUUUAAAAAUUUCCCGUUGAUUGGUAACUUGUGCAUUAAACCAGUUCGAUCCUUGAGGUGGUAUGCCCCAUUACCGAUAACUUUGUGAACGAUGAACGGUCUUUCCCAAUUUGGCGACCAUUUUCCGAACCUGGGGUCUUUAUUCCUACGAGCAACACAGUUUGCCAAACUAACUCGCCCUCUCUAAAUGUUUUUUGUUUGACUCGCUGAUUAUAAGCUCACUCGACGAUCUUUUUCUGUGCCACCAAUAAAUUAUAAGUGUUAAGUCGAUUUUCUUCCAAAUCUUCUAACUCUUGCCGCAUGGCAUAACUGUACUUGGCACUGAACAAGCUACUUUGUUCAAUCACUCGCAACUAGUUUAUACUUAGCUCGACUGGUAACAUAGCAUCAUGGCCAUAAGUUAACGCGUAUGGAGUCGUUUCAGUGGCCAAUCGCGGUGAAGUUUGAUAAGCCCAUAAUGCUUCGUUUAACUUUAAAUGCCAUAUACCAGGCCUUUCCUUUACCAUUUUCUCGAGAAUAUCGAUUAAAACCUUAUUACUUGCUUCAGCCUGUCUGUUCGCCUGUGGGUAAUACGGUGUCGACUGCUCAAGCCGAAUUUUUAGAUUUGUCGUAUACUCUUGAAACCUGCCAAAUGUAAAGAUCGUACCAUUAUCUGUUAUGAUUGUUUCUAGUGCGCUGAAUCUAGUCAUGAUGUUUUCUACAAAAUUACAGACUUCUUUAGACGUUAACUCGGCAUAUUACUUGGCUUCGACCCAUUUGGUAAAGUAGUCCGUUACGACAAGUAUCCACGCAUGCUUUGCCGACCCGGAGGAUGGUGCGAUUUUUCCAAUUACAUCCAUGGCCCAUCUCCUGAACGGCCAUGGUUUGGUGAUCGAAUGGAGUGAUUCGGUCAGAACUUUUUGUAUAGGCCCAUGAAUUUAACACUGUACACAUCCUUUUGCGUACUCGAUACAAUCCUUUAGAAUUCUCGGCCAGAAAUAACUGUGUCGCCGAAGCAACCAACCCAUCUUUUGUCCGGAUUGAUGAGCCAUGCAAAUACCUUCAUAGACCUCUGUGAUUGCUUGAGCAGCCUCUUGAGGGCCAAUGCAUAAUAAUAAUAGACUGUCUUCACCCCUUCAAUACAAUUCGUUUUGGUACAUUACAUAAUUCGAGCAUGAACCCUUGUCUUACGGUCGUGUUUGCCAUUGAGAUUAUCAAGAUACCGUAUAAUUGAUUUUCUCCAGUCAUCCGGCAUUGCCUCGACUGCGCAAACUUCUAUGGGGUCCUUUUGCUCUAACAACGAUGGUAAUGACAUGACUUGUGUACGGAUCACGUAAUCACGAUGGAGAAUUUGCUGAUUAACUAAUGCCAGGUAUACUCGUCGGGUCACAAGUAUUUCUCGGCCUGGUUUGCCCCCCAAGAGUUGUGCUCCAGAGGCUAUUUGAGCUAAUUCAUCGGCGUUAGUGUUUCGAACCCGUGAAAUGUGUUUGAAGGUAACCCCGUCGAAAGACUCUGCCAAAUAGCUGGCAACCAUGUGAUAUGGCACCAAAGUACAACUCAUGCAACAAAAAGUCCUAUUAAGUUGGUUAAUCACAAGUUCGGAAUCACCGAGAAUAAGGACUCGAGUUGCCCGUAAAUCAUGCAGGACACCAAGGCUAAUGAUAAGGGCUUCGUAUUUAGCCUGAUUAUUCGUGUACUCAAACUUGAGCUUGAAAGAAAAAUACCAGCGGCUGUGAUUGGGGGAUUGAAUAACGAUCCCAACGCCAGCCAUGGCGAAAGUAUGAGAGCCAUCAAAGUACAUUGUCCAGUAACUGUCACGUGUUUGCACCAUGCUGAUGUCCAUGUCAUUGCCCCCAUAAUCAUAUGGUGAGGGAUGUUGGGCCAACAAAUCGGCCAACGCAUGGCCUUUGAUAGCUUUCUGGGUCACAUACUGCAAACUGAAUUCAGAUAGUGCCAUUGUCUAUUUUCCAAUUUAGCCUUUUACUAUCGGCCGAGUGAGCAUGUAACGAAUGACAUCGGUCUGGGUGAUGACUAGAGUGACCGACAGGAUCAUGUAAUGCCUAAGUUUCGAUGCGGUGAAAAAUAAGGUGAGGCAACGCUUCUCGACGACGGAAUAAUUAAUCUCUGGUGGGUUGAGAUUUUGGCUAAGAUAAAAAAUGGCAUGUUUGUGCCCAACAUCAUUGUCUUAUGCAAAAAGGCAUCUGAUGGACUUCUCGGCCGCGGAGAUGUAUAGCUUGAGAGGUCUGCCAUGUCAUGGUGGGACUAGGACGGGUGGAGUUGUGAAGGAGACCUUAAUUGUGUGAAUGCCUCUUGAUGUUUAGCACGUCAUUCGAAGGUGUUAGUAUCCUUAGGUUUCAAGAGUGUGGAGAAGGCUUUCAUUUUUCUUGCUGAAUUGGCAAUGAAUCGACAAAGAAAGUUAAUCUUGCCGAGCAAUGACUGUAGUUAUUUCUUGGUAGUCGGGGUUGGAGUGUUGAUGAUUGCUCAUGCCUUAUUCUCGUCCACCUCAAUGCCACGAUGAUGUACAAGGAAUCCUAAAAAAUUACCGGCUGAUACGCCGAAAGCACAUUUGGCCAGAUUCAUUUUAAGGUUGUGUUGCCUUAUUCUCGUCCACAUCUGGCGAAGAUCGUCUAGAAGUGUCUACCGACACUCUGAUUUGAUUACAAUAUGGUCAAUGUAGACUUCGACGGUGGUACCAAUCAAAUUAUGGAAUAUAAUAUUCAUGGCUCAUUAGUAUGUAGCACCGGCAUUCUUGAGGCCGAAUGGCAUGAUGACUCAUUCGUAUGUGUCGAGUGCCCCCGGACAACGAAAAUCGAUCUUAUGGACAUCGACCUCGACGAUGAAAAUCUGGUUAUAACCAGCAUGUCCAUCCAUAAAAGAUAAGAUCUUAUGGUUUACUGCUGCAUCAAUUAACAAAUCUGAAAUUAGCUUUGGAUAUUCAUCUUUGGAAGUUGCCAGAUUCAAAUUGCGGAAGUCAAUAUAGAUACGUAGAGCACCACUUUUCUUUAAUACUGGGACGAUGUUCGCCAACCAUUUGACGUAUCGAGCUGUCCGAAUAAACCCAGCUUUUAAAAGUUGAACGAGUUCAUCCUUUAUGUCGAGUUGCACUUCGGUGGAUAAUCGUCCAGGUGGUUGGCGGAAUGGUUUGCACCCAGGUUUGAUGCGUAAUUCAUGUUCAACCAGUGUUAGAUCUAAUCUAGGCAUCUCAUGGUAACUCCAAGCAAAACAAUCCUUAAAUUCUUUAAGCAAAUUACAAAGCUUAGUUUUUACAUGUUGGGGUAACGAAGUACUAAUGAACAAGGGUCAUGGGUCUUCGGCCGUUCUAACAUUUAUUUCCUCUAAAGGAUCAUUGACUUGAGGUUGAGUAUUCUUGAGCUUGGCUGGUGCAGCUUGAACUUUGUCUAGUGAAAGCACUGGGCUGGUGUCUCAUUCGGCUAAAAAUUCGACUAAGUUAACGCCUGAAUUUGGUUGGUCGAUGCGUAACUAACCGUGGGAUUCUUGUAAAUCGUUCCUCGGGAUGGGGACUCCCAGAUCUUUUCUUCUCGGAGUAAAUAAUCAUAUUGCUCGACGUGCUGGGCCAGCUCGUACAUAUCUCAGAAGUUUACCCUUAAGAAUUUCUUUUUAUAUUCCAUAUCUAAGUAGUUCAGAGCGAUUCUAACGAAUUCAACUUCGGGGAGAGGUACUCGACAUUAAUUUCUGGCCGACUUGAAUCUCGUUAAGUAUUCCAUUGGCGACUCGUCAGAUGCUUAAGCCAUCUUGGCUAGUGAUGAAACUGACAUUUUCAUCCCUGGCCGAUAGAAUUGUUCAUGGAACUUUUCGACCAAUUCCUCCCAACUUUGGAUGGAGUUAGGCGGGAGGUUGAUGUACCAAGUAAAUGUUGAACCUGUUAGCGAGAAGUUGAAUAGUCGCAGUUUAUGGAAGUCACUAUUAACAUCUUCGCAUUGCACAGUGAACCGAGCCACAUGUUAUAAGACAAGGAUGACUAGCCAGCAAAAAGGCUGAAGUUGGGGAUCUUAAAGCCUUUAGGAUAUUCAAACUUUUCCACAUAAGCUAGAUAUGGAUGGAUGAAUUUCGGGAACCUCGGCCCCCUUUUCAAGGCCAAGUCGAUCAUCCUUUGGACCUCGAUCAUAUCGACGGAUGCUGUUUCCUUUCUCGGGUCAGAUCUAUCUAAUCUAUUGCUUGAUCCUUAUUUUUUUUCCAAUUCAAUUGUUUUGAGCCAAACAGAUCCUGUUUAGGCUUUUAGCGGAUUACUCCUAAAUAGAUGUUGUCGGAGCUGACCAACAGGUCCAUCUUCGAAGGCUUUACUAACCAAUAGCUCAAGCAAUCUGGUAUGUGUGUCACCAUUACUUCGUAUCACAUCAAGCAAACUGUUCAUUUUUUGGUUGACUGACUGUUCAACCUGCCGAGAUUGCUCAUCAAGUCAUCUCCGAAGAAACAACCUAGUCGGGAGAUCAGAGCUUUCACCACUAUCUUCAACCCAGUCUUCCAUUAUCCCUUCAAUUAAAAUGCUUGUGGUUUUGUCGAGAAUUUCUGUGUUGUGAAGCUGACCGUCGAGGCAGACUUCCCUCUUUCGGUGCGUUACACUUGUAGCCUAAGGUGCCGUAGUGAUAAGAGGAUUUUGUACCUGUGAUAAAUCUUGUCCAAGGCCCUAAACUGGCAAGUUUGUCGUUAACUUUCCCAUGACUGUUUUCUUCUUUACUGACCUUGUCUCAAUGGUCAUAAACUCCGAAGUUUUAGCAUUGGGUCCCACUGGGCGUGCCAAAAUGUUGACCCUAAAAACUACCAAGUCUACGUGGCGCGUAGGUCGAGUAACUAAUGAGCUAACUACCUCAUUUGGUUAUGUGCGGGCGUGCCAAUUCGUCGGCCGAUGAGUAAAAUAUGUUGAUGUUGCGUUAGGUACACUGCUGACGGUCGAUGAAGGAAUACUCUCGGCCUUCGGGUUCUAGAGCUUGAAGACAAGGCUGCUAGUCUUGCAAAGUUCAUGGAUUGUUGGCACCUGGUUCAGUCAUGGUGAUUAUAUUAGUGAGAGUAUAAGCAUGCCGAACUAGCUCCAAAAUGUACAGACAUAAGUACUUAAAGGAAAUAUAUAUGUCUUGAUGGUAAACGUGGUUUGACCGUCAGAAUGCUGAAAUCUAAACGCUACUUGUGAGUAACCAAUCAUAAACAACUCGGCGUUCAAUGUGCUGAGCCCAGUAGUUUGUAACAUCUCACUUUGCCAAGAAGGUUAAUGAGAUGACCUUUACCAAUAAGGAUUCAAAAAUCCUUCUCGCCCGAGACUUGGAUAGGUAACCAGUCGGCCUUGACGCAGUGCUAUUUAUCCAAACUGAAGAUGUGUUGGCGGAAAGAAAAUGAAAAAAUCUCAAGGUUGUUGAGAGGUUUCAUGUAGAGCGAGAAUUUGCGCAUGACAGCUUGUGUGUUAAAUUGGAGAGGUUGAAUGUGUGUUCAUCCUCUGUAUUUAUAGGAGCGAACCUACUUCCCGCUGAGUUAGAACCUCACCUAGACUAGGACUCCUCAUCCUAAUCUAACUAAGACUCGGCCAAUCCUACUUUAAUUAGGACUUUGAACACAUCUUCACAACGAACCACGUUUUUUCCACGCUCCUUAGUGCCUUUAGCUUUAACACUCAUGGGGGUUUAAAGAUUCAUCCUUCAUCUUUAUCCAAAUCAAUCCUUCUCACAAAAGGACUCGAUCAACAAACAACUAGACAACCCCCAAUACCCAGCUGGCCCAUGAUCCCCCUUACUACCACUAGAUCAAGAGUCUCGGCCCAUUUGUUACUUUCGGCCCAAAAUAUCGUUUUGGACCCAAACAGUGGGUCAAAAAACGGCAAUAUCAUGGUGAAUACAGUGUUUCGGCAACAAUUCUACACCAAACAAAGUAAACAGAGAGGGAGAGAGAAGAAAUCAAAAAUAAUUUUUAAGAAGAUUGUCGCCAAUCCCAAAGCUAAGAAAGCUCUCAAAAGUGGGAUUUUUGAAAUUUGUGUCAUCUCACAAUUUUGGCACAAUAUUUCAUAAUAGGGCAAUGCUAGAGAAAUCAAAUUUCUAAAUAAAAUGUUGUCGAUGUUAAUAAUUAGAUUAUUGCUUAAAUAUUGAUUAACGUACUUAUUUUUUAUUAAUGAAAAUUAUUUAAUUUAAAAUUUUAGUCUUUAUAAUAUUAUCCUUUAUAAUAUUAACACUUAAAUUAACGUUAAAUUUUGAAGUGAGAAUGAAUUCAUAAAAAACAUAUAUUUUGAGAUAGUCUCCUCGAUAUUUCUCAAAUAAAAAUCUGAAUUGACAAGCAAAUACCGCCAAAACCAUGAAAGUCCAAAAUUUUUAGGGACUAGCGUUGAAAAGCUUAUGAUAGGCCACACCCUCCCUCUAUUUCAUGUUGUAUGUUCCCUAGGCCACGCUAGGGUAGGCUGCUAGUGUUUUUUGACCUUUAGACUUCUUAUCUGAUGUUAAUUAAAAUACAAUAUAAAAUUAAUUGUCCUCAAUAUGCUGAGAACUGAUCAGCUUGUCUACUACUGCAUGUGCACCAGCAAUCUGCACUCCCCAGGUUUGAAACGUUAAGUCUGCAAGUCCAACAUGCUGAUGGCAACUGCUUAAUGUACUCAGAAAUCUGACAAAUGUACUACUGACUUGUCUUAAAUCAAAAACUAAAAUAUUUAAAAAUUAUUAUUUGCAUUCUAAACUUUUUAUUUUACAUUCUAAAUUUGGAAAAAUGAUCAUCUUCAGAUUUCUUCUUCUUAAUCCAGUAAAUUAGAAAAUUCAUGCUAUUAAAAUUUGAUUCAACGGUUACAAAAAAUGAGCCACUUUAAAAAUUAUAAUAACUUUAACUGUUUGAUCAAAUUUCAAUAACAUGAAUUCCCUGAUUUGAUAGAUUAAAAUGAAGGGAUAUGAAAAUGAUUGGAGGAGGAUUGUCUGCCCUCCAAGUUCCUGUGCCCUCCCAUGCCCUCCUGAUUGUGUGGUCACGGUUAAACCACGUUAAUAUUUUAUAUUAUUAUUCAUUUUUGUUUUAUUAUCUCUAUAAAAAAAUAAUAUAAAAUAUUAACGUGGCUUAACCGUGACCACACAAAACAGGAGGGCAUGGAAGGGCACCGAAACUUGGAGGGCAGACAAUCCUCCUCCAAAAUGAUUCCCUUCCCUAAUUUUUUUAAUUAAAAAAAUUACACUUUUAAAGAAAGCAAAAUAAUUUUUUUAAAGCGCCAAUACCUAUUUCUAACAUUUAACAAAUCAAAACUAUUAUUAAAUUUAUUUACUUUCUUGCCACUUAGUAUUACGAUCGAGUGAUAUUUCUUUUUCAUUAAUAAUCGAGAUCUUAAAUUCGAUUCUUGCUAAAAGCUAAUUUGAACCACAUUAUUAGUCGUCCAUUGUUUGGUUUAACUCACUCAUUCACUCCUUAUACAAUCUCCAAUCAUUAGGUUAAAACCUAAAAUUUUUAACCCUGAAAUAGUUUUUCUCUUCCAACCUUCUGGGUUAAAUUUUUUGUCGGAGAGUAUUAAAGAAUAAAUUUAGAAUUAUUUUUUUAAAGUAACUUUAAAAAAAAUUAUGUAGACUAUCCUAAUUUAAUUUUAUGAACAUUUUAACCGAAAAACAUUUAAAUUUCGAGAAAUAUUGAAAAAUCUCUAAAGCGACACCAUGAAACUCAUAGAACACUACGAGGAAUAUGAAACACAAUUUUUUUUUUUAAAUUACUUCAGCCAUUGGAUUUAAAUUUGGACUGUUUGAUCUUUUUUUUUACUGUUAGAUUUGAACAUAAUAGAUCUUAACCAUUAGAUUCAAUUAAUUUAUAAAUAUAAAACUAAAAAAAGUACACGUAUAUAGUGGGCUAGCUGUACUAAUUCAAGGGGAAGUUUAGGUUAAAUUUGCCUCAGAAAUGCGUUUUGAGUUAAAACUCAUAUUUGAUCCAAGGGUUAGAAUAAGUUAAGAUAAAUUUAGUGUAGAUAAUAUCAUUAAAAAAAAUUAAUUUAGUUUGUGUUCAAAACUUUGGCUGGAGCGUUGGAGGAAGCACCAAAAGUUAAUUAACGCACAGAGCACUAUGUUCACUCUGGUGCGCGUGUGGGGUUAAAAAACAGGGUAAAGCCAAAGUGCCCAAACCAGCAAACCCUAUUGGCAUGAGGGUGAAGAAUCCAAUUGAAAAUUCUUGUAAAAAGCGAGAGAUUUUUUUAAUAUGAUCAGCACACGAAGUGAUAUACCACAUAUCAUUAUAUAUAAAUGAUGAGAUAUGUGUAUUAAAAAUUUAAUAAUUUAAAAAUUAAAAUUUCUCAUCACUUACAUAAAAACACUAGUAUACUAUCCGUGUUUCCGUUACAAUAAAAAAUUUCUCUUAAAAAGAAAAACCCAAUUGAAAAUUCAUUAAAGAAAGCAAGCAAGACCCAAUUGAGAAUUCUUAUUAAAAGAAGAGAUGUUUAACCAAUAAAUUGUUAGUUGAGAGUACAAUGAGUAAGAUUUAACGAUGAAUUUUUUUUUUGUAAUCCGGUAUACUGAAUAUUGAAGAAAUUUCAUAAAAAAGACAUUUAUUGAUUUGAUUUGCUCCUUGAAGUCUUUUCAUCCUACUUUACUGUUAAAAUUCGAUUUGUCGAAAUUUGUCGAAAUUGCUAAAAUCAAGCUAUUUCACUCAACUUCUGUCAAUUCUAUCUCAUAUUAAUUAAACAGAUGGACAAUAUGGACAUUUCAUACUUUACUGAUUGAGAUGAGCCAUUUUGAUUGACGAAUGAAUUUUUUUUAAGACAAAUUUAGUUUUAGAAAAUAAAUAUAAUUAUAAAUCAACAAAUAAGCCAUAAAAAAAACCCAAGUGAAAAUUGAAAAGAAAGAAGGGUUGUUUUUCAGGCUUUGGAAUAUGCGUCAUCUGGUGAGAGCAGAGACAAACCGGGCAAAGCAAAAGACCUGAGAAAAGUAAAAGAGAGAGGGGCAGAGUUCGAAAAAUAAAAACCAAAAGGGUAAAAGGCUCACUCAGCAGAGCAUUCUCUCAUCCCUUACUUCUUUGUCUCUCUGUCUGUUCACAUGAAGCUUCGAUUUCUAUACUCUAUUGGGUUUCAUUUUUACCAUUCUUUCCCCUCCUUUUCAUUUUCUCCCUUCUCUUCUCGCAAAUUACUUUUUUUUUUCUUUUUCUAAUUAUUAAAAAAAUAACACAAAAUAUUAACGUGAUUUAACUUUAAUCGUCCACGUAAGAUAUGAGAAAGAGGAGACUAGCAGAGGAUGAAAAAAAAUGACCAGAAGGCAUUGACUUGGCUUAAUAACCUUUGAAUUCCUAUAUACCUCUACUUUAUUACCCCCCUCUCUCUCUCUCUCCAGCUUUCCUUUUAAAUAGGUUAUCAGAAACCCACGCUCACGUUCACCCAACGGCAAAGGAAGAGGAGAAAGAAAGAAAUCACAUUUAGCAACCCUUUGAGAUUUUGCGGUCAAAAUAUCUCCUCUUCUGCUUCUUCAAAGCUCAUAACUUUCACACUCAAUGGAUCAAGUAAACCUUGUCUUUAAUACCCUUUUGGAGUUUAAUCUUGAAGAUGUUAAAUUUCUUUUUUCUGAUUUGAUUGUGUGGGUUUUGUGUAUAAACAGGAUUUUAGGAUGAUGAGGAGUCAAGUUCCAGCGUUUGGGAGCUGGGAUUGGAACCAAGACCUUCCAUUUACUCAGUGUUUUGAAUCGGCAAGGCAGGCUGGGCUUCUGCGCUACACUACUUACUCUGAUGAACACGAUGAGGAUCGUGAUCUGUAUGUUGCUGGUGAUUUGUACGAGAAUCAUGUUGUCACACCUACCAUGAUUGUUGUUCCUCGCAGAAGGGUAACUAAUAAACUCCAUCCAUUCUUUUUUUAUACAGCUUGUUUAAUUUCCAAGUCCCAAUUUUGCUUCAAAUUCCGCAUUGAUCAUUCAUGACCUUUACGAUUUAAUAUCAACUAUAAAAUCGUAUUUUAUCGAAAAAAAGUUAGGGAAAUACAGACACAAAUAGAACCGGUCAUAAACGUCGUAAAAAUAUAAACAAACAUAGAAUUGUGGGGACACUAAACAGAUUAUAAGCCGUUUACAAACCACAAUUUAGCGCACUUUAUUGACGUCUUACUGACUCUCGUGUUUUAUUUUUGAUUAACUUUUCUCUUAACAUGUUUGCUGUGUGUAUAAUUUCCAAAACCAAAAUAAUUACAUUGUUUCAUGGAUGGAUGAUGAAUGAUUGAUUGUUUUUCUAUUGGUGGCAAAUUCUGCAGAACAAAAUGCGGCAGUCGCAUGUGAAAGAAGUAAAAGAGCAAAGUUGGAUGGUGAGUGAUGUGAAGGAGCCACCAAGCCCCCCACCAAGCCGCAGGCCUACACCAAAGCCAGUGGAUGAAGACUUGUACAAAAUCUCACCACACCUCUUUGCAAAAUCCAAAAAGGUAAAAGGCAGUUCUCCAAUGUCUCUCCUUCUCCGUUUGAUAAAUUAUUAGCAAAGAGAAUUAAUGAAAAUGGUUUAAAAACUUUGAGUUUUAACGAUAAGAUAAAAUAAAAGAUAAAAUGAAUAGUAUUAAGAUUGAUUUUUUAAUGUAAAAUUGUGAUUUUUUGUUAAAGUGAACAAUAUCGAAAGUUUUUCGUUAAAAUUUCCUUAUUAUUAUCAUUAUUGCAUGUCUAAAUAAAUUUGCACCUACAAAUACCUCUUCUUUUUAACCUCUUUGUUGACCUUAAUGCAUAAAGUUCUUAUAAUAAUUUUGGUUUUCAAUUUUUGUGAACCUUUUGGUUGCAGAAGAGAGGAUUUGGGUUCUUUUCAAGCUGCUUGCUGCCAACUUGUAUUGCUUGAUGCAGUAAAGAGGAGAAUUUGGGCUCGUUAAAAAACUCUUUUAAGACUGAAAGUGUUUUUUGAAAAAAUAUUUUUGAAUCCAAAAGGAUUUUAACGGUAGCCUGUAAGAAGCAUCAGUUAUAGACUUCUUGUAAGAAAUACUUUAAGUAUUUUCUCAAGAUUUACUUGUAUCUUACUAAGUAUUGAUUUCAAAAAUAUUUUUAUCAAAAUCGCAUUCAGUCAUUAUAAAGACACUUCCAAUCGAGCCCGUAUCAGAGUUAGUAAAUAUUCGAGGAAAUUAAAGAGCAAAGUGGUUUAGUGUUUUUAUUUAGUGUUCCACUUUAAUAUUAUGAACAUAUUCAGCUACUGAAUGAUUAUUUUGUCUUUCUAGGCACAGGAUUUGGGGAGUUUGUAACUUAGUUUUUACUGAAACUUUAUAUAUAUUUAUUUCGUUGUGGGAUAAUAUUGUUGGAACUUGGAAUUUUAAUUUUAUAAGAUAUUGUAAAAGUAAAAGAAGGGCUUUCUUUUUGUGGGGUUUAUUUUUUGUCAGUUAAGAUAUGUGGGGUUUAAUAUUUGAAUAUUCCAAUAUGUCGUGAAAAGAGGGGAAUGGGGUUGUUUGGAUGAAAAGAUUUUACCAAGGAAAAAUGAGUAAUGUUUGUUUUUAUAUCACAUUUUUAUACCAUCUUAAGUGAUAUCUGAGAUGGACAGUCGCAUCAUUUGAAAAAUUUACAAAACUUAAGGAAAAGAAGGAGAAAGACUUAUCGUCUAUCACGAUCAUCAUUUAAUUAACUAGAUUUUCUUAAUCAAAUGAUGUAGCUGUUUAUAUCAAAUACCAUCUAAAAUAGUAUGAAAAUAUGAUACAAAACAUUGUAUGAAUAUCAUUAUGGCAUCACAUGUGGGGGUAUGGGGAUAUUUCCUUUUCAUGAUAAAAGGAAAAGGAAAAGAAAAGGGUGAGGCACACACACGGUAUAUAACACCCACUCAGAACAGUGAUUGAUACAAAAGGCACUCAACACACGUAAAUUAUAACUUCAAGUUUUGGGAAAUCGAACAAAUAUUAAAAUUAUAAUUUAAUAUGAACUAGUGUUUUUUUUGUAAAAAGCAUCAGUUAGAUGUUAGGUGGUUGCAAUAAGCAUUUUAAGUGUUAAGGAGAUUAGAUAGGCAUCAUGAUCUCUUACUCAUUAUGGUUCCCUUCGAGCCAUCCUCUUGGCAAUCCAUUAUUGAAUCCACCCUAUUGAACAGUAACUGCCUUUAAUAAAUAGUAACUACCAUUAAUGAACAGUAAUUACCUUUUGCAUCUCCACCCUUGGAACCCUCCCCCCUGGCAAUAGGUAAUAAAAUAGUAGUUUUUUUUGUUUGUUUAAAUAAUAUAAAAUAAAAAAAACAGGGAAAUGAGGCUAUAGGGCCUCGGGCUGACACAAAAAACAAUAAAAAAAUGCCUUGGCCCUCGGGCUGCAGGCCUGUCAACUAUCCACCCCCUUGUGCUCGGGCUCCCACUCUCACUCGGGCCCUCCAUGGCUGGAGAAGAAUCAACAGGCCCUCGUGCCCCUUCCUGCAGCCCGUCCCCCGUCCAAAAACGAAGGCUGGAGUUGCUCUUAUAAUUCUCCACUUUCUCUCUUUCUUUCUAAAGUAGGAUGCAUGUGGGGGUUAGGGAACUAAAGGGGAUUAAGGAGUUCAAAUUCUAAAAGCAUCCAUCCCUUGUACUCAAAUAUGUGACUUCAAAAUACAGAAAAAAAUUGGGAACUUUAACGAAAAGCACCCAGUACUGUUCACUUUAACGAAAAACCACAUUUUUACACUAAAAAGUCAAUCCUGGUACUAUGCACUUUACUUUUUAUUUUGUCCUUAUCAUUAAAACUCAAAGUUUUCAAACCCUUUUCAUUAGUUUUCCUAAAAAAAUUAGGUAACAUAUGUAAAGGUUUGUUUGUAAGUGUUUUUAAAAUAGCUAGAAGUAUUUUUUGUGAAAAUAUUUUUGUAAUCAAUUUUUAGUAAAAAUACAAAUAAAUCUUGAAGAAGUACAUAAUUGGUAUUUAUUGCAGAAAGUACUUCAAAUAUUUUUCUUUUAAAAACACUUUCAAUCAUUUUACAAGCCAUUCUAAACAAAUUCCAAUAUAUUCACCAGUCACUCAACAUAAUACAGGUUUCGUUUCCCUGUCAUCAAAAAGCAAAAUUUUUGUUCGGUUACGUUUGACCACCCUUUAACUAUUUAGAAAAUCUUACUUGGUCAAACCUGUAGUAAACUAACCACUUGGUAUAAAUUUAGCACUCCAUUUGUGGAAAAACUAAUCAUUCUUUAGCAACCCCUUUAUUUCGACCUUCUCCUUCUAUUUUUUUGGAUUGGGAUCCUCUCCUAAGCCAAUGGAGAGGAUUCUCCUGACCAAACAUUGUAGGUCAUUGGAUUUUCAUCAAACAACUAUAAUUAUUAUAACUUUAAAGGGAUCUUCCUAUUUAUAGUCGUUGAAUAAAAAUUCAACGGCCCACAAUGCUUAGUUAGGAGGAUCCUCUCCAUUGGCUCAAAAGAGGAUCCAAUUCCGAUAGUUUUUACUCCUUUUUAAUCUUGUAUUGUUACUUGAUAUCCAAAAUAUUGGAAUUGGAUCCUCUCCUGAGCCCAAGGAGAUGAUCCUCUUGACUAAGGAUCUUGGACUGUUGGAUUUUUAUCCAAUAGCUACAAAUAAGAGGUCUCUUUAAAAUUAUAAUAAUUAUAAUCGUUGGAUGAAAAUCCAAUAAUUCAAGAUCCUUGGUCAAGAGAAUCUUCUCCUUGAGCUCAGGAGAGGAUCUAAUCCCAAAAUAUCUACUUUUAGGUUACUCUUAAUCAUUUUUUUUCCAUAAAAAAACUAACUAAAUUAAAAACUGUUUAGUCAUGGAGCGGUUAUUUGGAGGCUGCAUUUAUACAUUUCAUGACGUGGAAAAACUAUCAAAAAUUGUAAAAGUUCAUAAAUAAAUGCUUAAAGGUUCAUCUCAAGACUAAUAUUUACAGCUCCAUGUGUCUAGCAGGUAGCGAUCUAUUAGUUUUAUAGAGGAUCGACUUAGAUUAAAAGUAACGAACUUUAACGAAAAUAUUCUGGUAUUGUUCAUUUUAACUAAAAACCAUAUUUUACACUAAAAAGUUAAUUAUGAUACUAUUCACUUUACCUUUUAUUUUGUUCUUAUUGUUAAAACUCAAAGUUUUCAAACCAUUUUCAUUAGUUUUCCUUUAAAAGUAUGGCUGUCUUCUUUAAUCUUACUAUUUAUCAUCCAUUUUUUUCUUUAAAAUAUCUUCAAUAUGAUGAAUAGCCUUAUCCAAAUCAAUUCUUUCUAUCAAACGUGUGAUAUCAAUCUUGUUAACUACCUUUUAUUUACAGUAACCUAGCUAUGAAGUUUAAGUUUUAAGCAUAUGUGUGUCUGUGUGUGUAGUGUGUGUAAACGGAUUUGUGACAUCACUUUUUUACACAAUUUUUGAUACACGUUUUUGUAGAGUCUACUCCGUAAUAUAUAUACUCAUUACCUUUAUUAUAACAUGUCAAUUAAUUAAAUAUUGAGUAAUGCUAGAGACACCAAAUUUGUAGACUAAAUUAGCAAACCAAAUGAGGUGCCACCAAUAAAAAAUGAGCACGUUUAUCAACGAUUAAGUAAUAAUCUAAUUAUCAACUUCCAUAUUAUUUCGUUUACAAAAUUUAGUUUACAAAUUGAGUCUCUCUAGCAUUACGUAACAUUGUAAGACCCUAAAAUAUUUCUCCACCUCAAACCAUAUAGACCAUUAUGCAUCAAACUAAUGAAGUGGAACAACUAUGACUGCUAAACUAACUCUCACUAAAACGUUAAUUAAAGCAAGUAAUUGUAGCUAUGUAGUUUUUUUUUUUUGUCAACUAAAGGCAGGGUCCUUUAUUAAUUGAGAAAAUUACAACCCCCUACAACUUUUUUAUAUCUUUUAAACUAAACAUUUGUGUCUUUUUAAAAUUUGAUUAAAGUGUUUUGACCAAUAGACACCUCACAAUUUUCUGUUAAAUUAAAUUACAUAUCAUUAUCGUAUUUUCUUAAAAUAAAAUGUUAAUUAUUAAUUCUAAAUUUAUCCUCUUAAGUUUUUAAUGCGUUUUCCCCUUAUUUAAUGGAGUAUUAGUUAUUAACUCUAUUAUCCCUUUUUCCAAUUAUAAUUUUUCGCUCAAAAUAUUUUUUUUGUUCUUCAAACAUUAAUAUUAUUUAUUUUUGUCAAAUGGUUGGCUAUCCAAUAAAGCACUGUGUAAUUUUUCCCCUUUUUUUUGUCAAACUAUUUUUCUUUGUUUUUUAUUUUUUAUUUUUUAUUUUUACUUAUAGUUGUUGACAAACUAUUAUUAGGUACACCAUAUUAUGUGUAUACUGCCGUUAGGUAUGUUUUAAUUUGUAAAAAACAUUGAUUGGUACGUUUAUUUGCAGUUUUGGUACGUUUGAUUUGGUACAUAUUGUUGAUAUUGAUACAUUACUUUUGAUUUUGGUACGUUUAUAUGUUGUUAGUCCUAUUUUCUCUUAAUGUAUUGAUAUAAAAAAUUAUAUUGGUACAUUUGAUUUCGUGAGAUUUAAAAAUAUUUUCAACCAUUUUGGGAAUAAAAUAUUAAAUCGUAGAUAAUCAUUGCUAAAUUGUAGGAAGUAUUGUGAAAAUAAAUUGUAUUUAACUAGGGUUUUUUUGUUUACAAUUAUCUCCAAAGGGGGAGAAGGUAAUCAAAAUGCUAGAUUAUAGGAAGUUUGGUUCAAUACUGUGCACUUUUUUGGCGUGAGAUUAAGAAAUAUGGAGUAGUGGCAGUUCAUGUAAUUUUGGUAUAAAAAAUGAUUAAUUCUAAUAUAUGUGGCAACAAAAUGAUGAGAAGAAAGUUUAAUCAAAUCUCUAAAAGGCAUAGAUGCUUAGUCUAUAAAAUUCAAAAAUAAGGCACUUAUAUCAAAUCUUCCCUUAUUAAUUACACAACAAAAAUUUACAAACCAAAAAGAACCAGCCCAAAAACAUAGAAAAAGCCCAACCAAAGUUUGAGCCCAAACCAGAAAAAACCAAGAACAACCUAGAUCUCUGCUGCAGCCAUUUCCACACCAGAAAAUCCCGUCCAGCAGCUUGCUUCCAUGCUUUUGACGAAGCAUCCCCACUCCGGUCGCCUCCAUCAGCUGAGAACAGCUCUUCAAUUGCAACCACAAGCUGGAAAAACCAGCCAUGAAGCCUGUGGAGAUCCACAUGCAACCCUGCCAAAGGAAGAGAGAGAAGGUGGUGGUGUAGAUAACACUCAAACCAGUGAGAACACAAAAAUUUGAUACACCGACUCCAUAAAUCGUGACGAAUCGCGAUGAAAAGUGGCUACAUAUGAAAUUGGAAAUGACCCAGAAAAAGGGAUGCCAAAGAACUGUGGAGAACUGACUAGAAAGGGAUUGGUAGGAAAGGGAAAACGCAGCAGAAAAUCACAAAGGAAAAACAUAACGAACAAAGAACAAACUGCCACCGACCCCAGCCAGAGCUAGGAUCGGCGACAACGAAAAAUGACUAAAUUGCAAACACUCACACGAGACGGUAAGAAAGGCUCUCAAGCAGAGAGAUAGGAAAGGAAAGUUUCCCCUUGCUGUUUGGGUCGAGAGAAAGUGACCCUCUCCUUACUUUGUUACAUUGUAGCUAUGUAGUUACGUACAUUAAUUUUUCAGUGUCGUCUGAAUUGUUUGAAUACCAUUCGAUAUUGUCUUCUUAAAUUUUUGAAAAGUAAAAUUUGAGCUAAGACAUAGUGAAAUUGCUGACACUCUUCACGCAGCCAAACUCAGAGAGGAUAAGAGCCGAGACCCGGAGAGAGCACUGAUUAUACUAGAGUUGU